rnacentral:rRNA from 1 species
AUUGAACGCUGGCGGCAGGCCUAACACAUGCAAGUCGAGCGAGCGGCGGACGGGUGAGUAAUGUAUGGGGACUGCCCGAUAGAGGGGGAUAACUACUGGAAACGGUGGCUAAUACCGCAUACUAGCGGAUAACCUAUACGGGAUUAGCUAGUAGGUGGGGUAAAGGCUCACCUAGGCGACGACCUCUAGCUAGUCUGAGAGAAUGAUCGGCCACACUGGAACUGAGACACGGCCCCGACGCCAACGGAGGCAGCAGUGGGGAAUAUUGCCCAAUGGGCAGAAGCCUGAUGCAGCCAUGCCGCGUGUAUGAAGAAGGCCUUAAGGUUGUAAAGUACCUCCAGCGGGGAGGCGUUACCCGAAGAAGAAGCACCGGCUAACUCCGUGCCAGCAGCCGCGGUAAUAC